rnacentral:rRNA from 1 species
ACUCUUUUGUAGAGAGUAAGUGCACUACGUGUAGUGUAUGCAGUACUACGAUAGCAUCGGCUAUCGUGCAGCAGCGCGGUAAUACGGAAGAUGCAAGUGUAUCCGGAUUUAUUGGGUUUAAAGGGUGCGUAGGUGGUCUAAUAAGUCAGUGGUGAAAUCUCUUUGCUUAGCAAAGGAAAUUGCCAUUGAAACUGUUAGACUUGAGAAUGGACGAGGUAGGCGGAAUUCGUAGUGUAGCGGUGAAAUGCAUAGAUAUUACGAAGAACUCCAAUAGUGUAGACUGCUUACCAGACCAUAUCUGACACUAAGGCACGAAAGUGUGGGUAUCAAACAGGAUUAGAUACCCUGGUAGUCCACACAGUAAACGAUGAAUACUAACUGUUUGCGAUAUACAGCAAGUGGUCGAGCGAAAGCGUUAAGUAUUCCACCUGGGAAGUAUGCCGGCAACGGUGAAACUCAAAGGAAUUGACGGGGGCCCGCACAAGCGGAGGAACAUGUGGUUUAAUUCGAUAAUACGCGAGGAACCUUACCCGGGCUCGAACGAUAUUUGAAUACAUCCGAAAAGAUGUAGCUAGCAAUAGCAAAUACCGAGGUGCUGCAUGGUUGUCGUCAGCUCGUGCCGUGAGGUGUCGACUUAAGUGUCAUAACGAGCGCAACCCUUACCGAUAGUUACCAUCAGAUAAUGCUGGGGACUCUAUUGGGACUGCCACCGUAAGGUGUGAGGAAGGAGAGGAUGACGUCAAAUCAGCACGGCCCUUAUGUCCGGGGCGACACACGUGUUACAAUGGGAGAAACAAAGGGUCGCUACCUGGCAACAGGAUGCUAAUCUCGAAAAUCUCUCUCAGUUCGGAUUGGAGUCUGCAACUCGACUCCAUGAAGCUGGAUUCGCUAGUAAUCGCACAUCAGCCAUGGUGCGGUGAAUACGUUCCCGGGCCUUGUACACACCGCCCGUCAAGCCAUGGAAGCUGGAAGUACCUGAAGUAUGUAACUGAAAAGAGCGUCCU